rnacentral:misc_RNA from 1 species
AAGUCGUAACAAGGUUUCCGUAGGUGAACCUGCGGAAGGAUCAUUAACACAAUGAUAAGAGAUACAAACUGAUUCAUCAGUUUUUAUCUCUAUUCUCUACACCCCCCUUUUGGAUGAAUUACGAAGAAAAACACACAAAAAAAAUCAAGGCAAAACAAUUCAUCUUCGGAUGGUUUGUUUUUGAUUUGGCUUUUUCUGUGCUUUUUCUACAUUUUUUCUCUUUUCUUUUAAACCCAACCCCAUUCUUUAUACUAUGCCAAUGUCUAAUAUCAAUUGUUUGAGAAAACGCUUAAAAAACAACUCUUAACAACGGAUAUCUUGGCUCUC